AUACAUGUCUUGGUCUUUUAAUUAAGAUAAAGUGUAAUAUUUGCGUUUAUUAGUUUAAUAUCUGAUAUGUGAACCAUAUAUUCACUUUGAUAUUAAAUUUAUUUUUUACAUGUAUCAUAU
rnacentral:snRNA from 1 species